rnacentral:snRNA from 1 species
AUGCUCUCUUGGGCAGCACAUAUAUUAAAAUCAGGAAGAGUCAGGGCAGAUCAGGAUGGGCUCCCAUGCAAGAAUGACACACAAAUUUGUGACACAUUCCAUAUUUAA